CCACCACCAUGUAAGAAGUGCCUUUUGCCCUCCCCCAUGACUGUAAGACCUUCCCCAGCCACGUGGAACUGAUGUACAGACGAAAAAAGACCAGAGGAUAUCAAAUCUCACCACAAGGUGGGAGCAUGCGUCCAGUCAAUCGAGAGAUCCUCUGUGCUGCGCACUGAGAGCACUCGGAGAGAAAUCGUCAACGUGAGGCGCCUCUGGCUUUCCAUCCUUCCAUAUCUGUCUAAUUAACUCACAUGCUAAGAAGACCAGCCAUCAAGCCAGACAAGGAAGCUGGGACUUCAAAUUUCCCCUACCUAGCCUCAACUAUUCUCCCUUUAUGAUGGGCACAUUAAUAUUCUUCCAAAAUAUCAGCAUCAUUUUGCAACUGGCUACAAAAUACUUUAAAAGGAAAGAUUCCACAUGUUCCAGAAAUAAAGUGCUUGAAAUACUUUUGACGAUGAGGAUAAAACCCGUGUUUUAAGAGGAAGUUAGCUAAGGCUGGAGAGUUGGAACCCUCUGGCUUACUGAUAUUUAUUGAUCAAUUACUGUAUGCCCAAACAUGUUGUGUAAUAGUUGAUCAGUAACUACUAAGUAUAAACAAACUUUGACACUCCUUACCACAAAUGGGCUUUAAUAAUAACAAACUAGUGAAGUUGGUUGGGCACAGUGGUU
rnacentral:lncRNA from 1 species